GACGAACACUGGCGGCGUGCUUAACACAUGCAAGUCGAACGGAAAGGCCCCGCUUGCAGGGUGCUCGAGUGGCGAACGGGUGAGUAACACGUGGGUGACCUGCCCCUUACUUUGGGAUAAGCCUGGGAAACUGGAUCUAAUACUGGAUAGGACCAUGCUGUAGGUGGUGUGGUGGAAAGAUUAGUUUCGGUAAGGGAUGAGCUCGCGGCCUAUCAGCUUGUUGGUGGGGUAAUGGCCUACCAAGGCGUCGACGGGUAGCCGGCCCGAGAGGGUGGACGGCCACAUUGGGACUGAGAUACGGCCCAGACUCCUACGGGAGGCAGCAGUGGGGAAUAUUGCACAAUGGGCGCAAGCCUGAUGCAGCGACGCCGCGUGGGGGAUGACGGCCUUCGGGUUGUAAACUCCUUCCAGCCAUGACGAAGCCCUUGUGGUGACGGUAGUGGUAGAAGAAGCACCGGCUAACUACGUGCCAGCAGCCGCGGUAAUACGUAGGGUGCGAGCGUUGUCCGGAAUUACUGGGCGUAAAGAGCUCGUAGGUGGUCUGUCGCGUCAUUUGUGAAAGCCCGGGGCUUAACUCCGGGUUGGCAGGUGAUACGGGCAUGACUGGAGUACUGUAGGGGAGACUGGAAUUCCUGGUGUAGCGGUGAAAUGCGCAGAUAUCAGGAGGAACACCGGUGGCGAAGGCGGGUCUCUGGGCAGUAACUGACGCUGAGGAGCGAAAGCAUGGGUAGCGAACAGGAUUAGAUACCCUGGUAGUCCAUGCCGUAAACGGUGGGCGCUAGGUGUGGGUUUCCUUCCACGGGAUCCGUGCCGUAGCUAACGCAUUAAGCGCCCCGCCUGGGGAGUACGGCCGCAAGGCUAAAACUCAAAGGAAUUGACGGGGGCCCGCACGAGCGGCGGAGCAUGUGGAUUAAUUCGACGCAACGCGAAGAACCUUACCUGGGCUUGACAUGCACUGGAUGCGGCCAGAGAUGGUUGUUCCCUUUGUGGCUGGUGUGCAGGUGGUGCAUGGUUGUCGUCAGCUCGCGUCGUGAGAUGUUGGGUUAAGUCCCGCAACGAGCGCAACCCUUGUCUCGUGUUGCCAGCAUUUGGUUGGGGACUCGCGGGAGACUGCCGGGGUUAACUCGGAGGAAGGUGGGGAUGACGUCAAAUCAUCAUGCCCCUUAUGUCCAGGGCUUCACACAUGCUACAAUGGCUGGUACAGAGAGUUGCGAUACCGUGAGGUGGGGCUAAUCUCGUAAAGCCAGUCUCAGUUCGGAUUGGAGUCUGCAACUCGACUCCAUGAAGUCGGAGUCGCUAGUAAUCGCAGAUCAGCAAUGCUGCGGUGAAUACGUUCCCGGGCCU
rnacentral:rRNA from 1 species